AAAAUGCAACAACACACUGAAAUGUCAAUUUCACAUUUGUAGUCCACAGCUCAUGGACACAUAGCUAUUUCAAUUCGUAUCUAACUGAAAUAUCAUUUCAACUCUUUCAAAAAGCAUUGCAAUUAUUUUGAGAAAUAUAUAACACAUCCACAGGCUAAAAUGAUCUGGUUUCACAACAUUGAAAUAUCAUUUCAAUUUAUAUUUUAAGAAAAAUAAAUUUCACAACUCACAACACCACAUUGAAAUAUAUUUCAGGGAAGUAAUUACAUAUUUUCCAGGGAAGUAAUUUCAUAUACUUCAAUACAUAUCUCACUGAAAUAACAAGUUACAGAUAUGACAAAUACCAUUUUCAUAUAUUUCAAAGAAGUAAUUUCAUAUAUUUUCACAUAAAUUAGUUUCACAGCUUGCAACACCACGUUGAAAUAUAUUUCAGGGAAGUAAUUUCAUAUAUUUCAAUACAUAUCUCACCGAAAUAACAAGUUACAAAUACAUGAAAUAGCAGUUUCAUAUAUUUCAGAGAAGUAAUUUCAUAUAUUUGAACAAAAAAUAGUUUCACAACUUGCAACACCACAUUGAAAUAUAUUUCAGAGAAGUAAUUUCUCACUGAAAUAACAAAGUUACAAAUAUGAGAAAUAUCAGUUCCAUAUAUUUCAGAGAAGUAACUUCAUAUAUUCCAGAGAAAUUAGUUUCACAACUUGCAAGAACACAUUGAAAUAUUAGUUUCACAUUUUUUGCACAGCUCAACUACACACAGCUAUUUCAAAUCAUAUCUCACUGAAAUUUAUUCCAAUUGUUUUCUGAAAUAUAUAACACUUCCACAAACUAAAAUUUCUAGUUUCACCACAUUGAAAUAUAAAUUUCACAUCUAUUCCACAAAACAUUUCACAUAAAUUUGUUUCACAACUUGCAACACCACAUUCAAAUAUAUUACAGGGAAGUAAUUUCAUAGAUCUGGGUUUCUUUCAAAAAACUAUACCCCAUGCUCUCUGUCACAAACAAAGAAUGUUCAAAUCAAGUGGCAAAUAUCUGAAAAUUGAAGUAGCAGGGGAGGCCGACGAUCUGGUAAAGAAACAAAGAAUAUUCAAAUCAUGCUAAUUAAAUCCGAAAUCAUGAAGUGCAUAUGGAGAGAGGUUAUGCUAGAUGGGAUUCAUGACUCACCAGAUUAGGUAGUGGUCAGGCUUGGAGUCGCCGGAUCCGGCAACAACCGUGCACGAUGACCCAUCAUGGUGCCCGUGCUCACGCGCUGAUCUCCCCGGAAUGAGAUGGACGAGGAGGCCGCCCAGCCGCGUUGUGGGCGCCGGAUCCGGCACCAGCCGGUGAAGCCACUACCUUGUCGUUGUCAUCGGGCCCGUCGAUGGCCGGGAUAGAUACACCUCACCGCAAAACCACCUCGCUGAAGUUGACGAUCAUCGAAGUUGACAGAGGCUGGUGGGGAAGCGGAUCCGGUCGCCGGAGUUGGACAGAGGCUGGUGGGGAAGUGGAUCCGAUCACCGAAGUUGAACGGAGGCCGGCCGGUCAGCCCCUGUUGCUCUGGGGAGAGAGAGAGGUUGUAUGAUCUAGUUUGGAGAUAAUGGGAGAGAGAAAGAGAGACGUGGUUGUUGGGAGAUAUUU
rnacentral:lncRNA from 1 species